UGGGGAAUAUUGCACAAUGGGGGAAACCCUGAUGCAGCAACGCCGCGUGAGUGAUGACGGCCUUCGGGUUGUAAAGCUCUGUCUUCAGGGACGAUAAUGACGGUACCUGAGGAGGAAGCCACGGCUAACUACGUGCCAGCAGCCGCGGUAAUACGUAGGGGGCAAGCGUUAUCCGGAUUUACUGGGUGUAAAGGGAGCGUAGGUGGUAUGGUAAGUCAGGUGUGAAAGCCCGGGGCUCAACUCCGGGAUUGCAUUUGAAACUACCAAACUAGAGUGCAGGAGAGGUAAGUGGAAUUCCUAGUGUAGCGGUGAAAUGCGUAGAUAUUAGGAGGAACACCAGUGGCGAAGGCGGCUUUCUGGACUGUAACUGACACUGAGGCAUGAAAGCGUGGGUAGCAAACAGG
rnacentral:rRNA from 1 species